rnacentral:rRNA from 1 species
AUUGAACGCUGGCGGCAUGCCUUACACAUGCAAGUCGAACGGCAGCACGGGAGCAAUCCUGGUGGCGAGUGGCGAACGGGUGAGUAAUAUAUCGGAACGUGCCCAGUCGUGGGGGAUAACGUAGCGAAAGCUACGCUAAUACCGCAUACGAUCUACGGAUGAAAGCGGGGGAUCGCGAGACCUCGCGCGAUUGGAGCGGCCGAUAUCAGAUUAGGUAGUUGGUGAGGUAAAGGCUCACCAAGCCGACGAUCUGUAGCUGGUCUGAGAGGACGACCAGCCACACUGGGACUGAGACACGGCCCAGACUCCUACGGGAGGCAGCAGUGGGGAGUUUUGGACAAUGGGCGCAAGCCUGAUCCAGCAAUGCCGCGUGCAGGAUGAAGGCCUUCGGUUGGUAAAC